ACAAGAUUGACAUUUUGCAGUAUAGAUCAAUGGUCUGUUACAUGUCAUGCUUCAAAAGUUGUAUCUUGCUCAUUAAGAAUGAUGCUCAUUGUGCAGGUAAUUUUCCUUUUCCCGUUUUCGUGGCGAAGUCAGUAUUUUUAAAUUAUUUGUUUUGGCAAUUGUUACUUAUUAUAUUGAAAAAAGUUCUUGAAUGUUUGUUUUUGUAGUGUUUGCCCCAUUGAUACCUUUUAUUGGACAGAGAGCUGUUCUCGGAUUAUCUGGUUAUGUGCUCAAUAACUUAGCAUUUGUUUUGGCUUCUUUUUAUCUUUACAGGCUCUCAGCUAUUAUCUUGAAGGAUUCCGAGGUGGCAUUGAGACCUACAAUAUUGUUUUGCCUUAAUCCCGCCUCCAUAUUCUACUCAACAAUAUAUACUGAGAGUAUGUAUGCUUUGUGUUCCAUUGGAGGAUUGUAUUAUCUCAUGAGGGGUUCAAAUAACAUUGCAACACUUUGGCUGGCUCUCACUGGAUAUGCAAGGUCGAACGGAGUGCUUAAUGCUGGCUAUAUUUGUUUCCAGACAAUGCAUACAUCCUACAAAACAGCUUUUGUUAGAAAAAGUGUUGGUGGGACCUUGGUAGUUCUUCUUUCUGGGGCUUUACGUAGCUUAUUUAUCAUUUCCCCAUUUAUUGCUUUUCAAGCCUAUGGGUACUACAAUAUGUGUGUGGGAGGCAGUUCAGAUGAAAUGAGGCCUUGGUGCAAGGCAAGACUUCCUUUACUCUACAGCUAUAUUCAAAGUCGUUAUUGGGGAGUGGGUUUCUUAAAGUAUUUUCAAGUAAAACAAAUUCCAAAUUUUGUUCUUGCAUCUCCAAUAUUAUCUCUUGCUCUCUGCACAAUCAUACAUUAUGUGAAGCUAUGGCCUGAGGUUUUUGUGUCACUUGGUUUUCGGGAAUCCUCUCCAAAUAAAGGAAGUGUUGCUUCACCCAUGCCUCUGGGGAGAAAUGCAGGAUCCAAGAGUGUUGGCUUUCAAUCAGAAAACAGAUCUAAUGCCGGGCAAGGUGACUCUCUUAGAUGGCGAAAACCAGCUCUGAGAGAAGAAAACUAUGCGGUACAGCCGUCAGAAGAUGAAUCAUCAGAGAAUCCAGGAUUCAAACCAAUUAUUCUUGUUCCCUUCAUUCUACACCUUGUGGUCAUGGUUGCAACGGCUUUCUUUGUCAUGCAUGUACAGGUUUCAACACGAUUCUUAUCUGCCAGCCCUCCUCUCUACUGGUUUGGCUCAUAUGUCAUGGCAUCACCUCGUCUUAGCAAGAGAUGGGGAUACAUUAUUUGGACAUAUUGUGCAGCUUACAUCUUGCUCGGAAGUUUGCUCUUCUCUAAUUUCUACCCCUUCACCUGAGACGCGUGGUAUCUUGAAGCUGAACUUUCUUUUCGUCUGAUUUACCAUAAUCUCCUCGUUUUUUUGAAGUAUCAUAUCCGAUGGCUACCUCGCAGCAGCAUCAGCCAUUCCAGUUUUGACGAUAAAAGUAGAGUAGAUUGUAGAGGUGUGGAUACUGGUUGCAGAGUUGCUUUCUUCACAUUCAAACCUUGAAAAUCUCUGUUUGGACAUAAUGUUCAAUAGACUCUAACAUGAAUGUAGCAAAACCAAUUUUGCUUUGCUUAUGUAACAAUUUGUAACUAUAAAGUUAUUUCCGUAUGACUUAUACGUCACAUAUUUUA
rnacentral:misc_RNA from 1 species